GCGCGCGCAGGCGGUUUCUUAAGUCUGAUGUGAAAGCCCACGGCUCUUUCCGUGGAGGGUCAUUGGAAACUGGGGAACUUGAGUGCCCUUUAGAAAAGCGGAAUUCCACGUGUAGCGGUGAAAUGCGUAGAGAUGUGGAGGAACACCAGUGGCGAAGGCGGCUUCUUGGUCUGUAACUGACGCUGAGGCGCGAAAGCGUGGGGAGCAAACAGGAUUAGAUACCCUGGUAGUCCACGCCGUAAACGAUGAGUGCUAAGUGUUAGAGGGUUUCCGCCCUUUAGUGCUGCAGCUAACGCAUUAAGCACUCCGCCUGGGGAGUACGGUCGCAAGACUGAAACUCAAAGGAAUUGACGGGGGCCC
rnacentral:rRNA from 1 species